AUACGGAGGAUCCGAGCGUUAUCCGGAUUUAUUGGGUUUAAAGGGUGCGCAGGCGGCCAUUUAAGUCAGCGGUUAAAUCGUGGGGCUCAACCCCAUUCUGCCGUUGAUACUGGGUGGCUUGAUUGCGGUCGAGGUUGGCGGAAUUCGUUGUGUAGCGGUGAAAUGCAUAGAUAUGACGAAGAACACCGAUUGCGUAGGCAGCUGACCAGACCGCAAAUGACGCUCAUGCACGAAAGUGCGGGGAUCGAACAGGAUUAGAUUCCCUGGUAGUCCGCACAGUAAACGAUGAAUACUUGUUUUCGGCGAUAUAAUGUCGGAGGCAAAGCGAAAGCGAUAAGUAUUCCACCUGGGGAGUACGCCGGCAACGGUGAAACUCAAAUGAAUUGGCGGGG
rnacentral:rRNA from 1 species